CUAUUUUCACCUUAUCUAUCCUUUUUCAUUUUGACUGAGCUAUUAAUCUUUUAGUUAUUGAUUUGAAGAUGUAUAUCUAUCUACAAAUAUAAGUAUAUACCCACAGAUACAUUUUUACACAUUUUUUGUUUUUUUUGAGAUGGAGUCUCAUUCUGUUGCCCAGGCUGGAGUGCAGUGGCACCAUCUUGACUCAUUGCAACCUCUGCCUCCCAGGUUCAAGUGAUUCUCUCACCUCAGCCUCUGGAGUAGCUGGGACUACAGGCUUAUGCCACCACACCUGGCUAGUUUUUUGUAUUUUGGUAUAGACGGGGUUUCACCGUGUUGCCCAGGCUGGUCUCGAACUCCUGAGCUCAGGCAAUCCGCCUGCCUCCGCCUCGCAAAGUGCUAGGAUUACACGCAUGAGCCACCGCGCCUGGCCUACACGUUUUAUUUAUUGAUAACUUUUCGUGGUAGAGUCAAGAGUGGGAGAAGAGCGCAGCAUGUGAGCAGCACAGUGGCAUUCUCUCCUCUCUUCACCUCACUUUGGUGGCCUACCUUUACCUGGGCACCAGAACACCUUUCACCAUGACCACCUCAGCAAGUUCCCACUUAAAGAAAGGCAUCAAGCAGGUGUACAUGGCCCUCUGCCUCAGGAUGAGAAAGUCCAGGCCAUGUAUUUCAGGAACAAUGGUACUGGGGAAGGACUGUGCUGCAGGACCCAGACCUUGGACCGUGAGCCCAAGUGUGUGGAAAAGUGGCCUGAGUGGAAUUCCGAUACCUCUAGUACUUUACUGUCUGAAGGCUCCGACAGUGACAUGUAUCUCGUGCCUGCUGCCAUGUUUCAAGACCCCUUCCGUAAGGACCCUAACAAGCUGGUGCUGUGUGUGAAGUUUUCAAGUAUGAUCGAAAGCCUGCAGAGACCAAUUUGAGGCACACCUGUAAAUGGUGAGUAACCAGCACCCCUGGUUUGGCAUGGAACAGGAAUAUGCCCUCAUGGGAACCGAUGGGCAUGCCUUUGGUUGGCCUUCCAACAGCUUCCCGGGACCCCAGGGUCCAUAUUACUGUAAUGUGGGAGCAGAUAGAGCCUAUGGCAGGAACAUUGCGGAGGCCCGUUACUGGGCCUGCUUGUAUGCUGGAGUCAAGAUACAAGCAGGGACUAAUACCAAGGUCAUGUGUGCCCAAUGGGUAUUUCCCACUGUGUGAAGGAAUCAGCAUGGGAGAUCAUCUCUGGGUAGCCCAUUUCAUCUUGCAUCGUGUAUGUGAAGACUCUGGAGUGAUGGCAAUCUUUGAUCCUAAGCCCAUUCCCAGAAACUGGAAUGGUUCAGGCUGCAUAUCAACUUUAGCACCAAGGCCACGUGGGAGGAGAACUGUCUGAAGUACAUUGAGGAGGCCAUCGAGAAACUAAGCAAGUGGCACCAGUACCACAUCCACACCUAUGAUCCCAAGGGAGACCUGGACAAUGCCUGAAGCCUAACUAGAGCCCAUCAAACCUCCAACAUCAAUGACUUUUCUGCUGGUGUAACCAAUCGUAGCGCCAGCAUACGCAUUCCCCAGACUGUUGGCCAGGAGAAGAAGGGCCACUUUGAAGACCAUCGCCCCUCUGCCAACUGCAUUCCCUUUUCUGAAUUCAGAAGCCCUCAUCUGAAUGCAUCUUCUCAAUGAAACCAGCGAGGAGCCCUUCCAGUACAAAAACUAAGUGGACUAGACCUCCAGCUGUGAGCCCCUCCUCAUUCUUUAUCCCACUCCAACUCUUCCCCCUCUCCCAGUUGUCCCAAUUGUAACUCAAAGGGUGGAAUAUCAAGGUUUUUUGUUUUUUCCCCUUGUACCCAGUUAAUCUUUCUUUCUUUGUUUGGCUGGGAUAGGGGGGUCAAGUUAUUAAUUUCUUCACACCUACCCUCCUUUUUUUCCCUAUCACUGAAGCUUUUUAGUGCAUUAGUGGGGAAGAGGGAGGGGAAACAUAACCACUGCUUCCAUUUAGUGGGGUGCACCUGUCCAAUGGGCAUAGGUACCCGGGCAGAGCAUGUUUGCAGGAGGUAGACUUUUCUUUGAGGUAGCUGAAAGGGGAACACCUGGGUUCCUCUGGUUAGGUUAGGACUUGCCCUCAUGGCAGCAACUUUUCUUAAGAGGUUAUAACCAACCUUUCUAUUAAAAGUGCAAAUUAGGAGAGAAGGUAAGGGUUGGGAAUCAGGGAGAAUGGCCUUUGUCUCUUGCUUGUGGGACUAGCCUGGCAUGAGACUAAAUGCCCUGCUCUGAAUACAAAGCUCAGUGUAAGCUGAUGGAUAUCCCCCUACCUUGAAAGAAGAAAAGGUUCUUAUGGCUUGGUCCUCAAUUUAUCACAGAAAGCAAAAUAGUAUUUUUAUAUUUAAAUGUAAAGACAAAAAAUUAUAUAUAUAUAUGGUUUUAUAGAUCGUGUGUGUUUUGCUACAGGAAAAAAAAACAUCCAGGUCACAGGGUGCCAAAUUUGAGACAAAUAGUGUGGAUUACAAGUCAAGGAUCUCCUUCUGAGUAAGGAAUGAGGGAAGUGGUUCUUAGAAAGAUGCUGAUCUGAGGUUAGGCCGUCAUCACACUUCAGGGUUUCUGCCCUGCCCACCCUCUGGAAAAGGUGGACGCUGGUUAGUUAACAGGUGACACAUGUUACUAGCAGUCACUUGAUCUCUGUGGCUUUGGUUUAAAAGACAGACACUUGUCUACAUGGGCUUAGAGGUAAGAGUUGGCUGGUCAACUUGAGCAUGUUACUGACAAAGGGGGUAUUGGGGUUAUUUUCUGGUAGGAAUAGCAUGUUACUAAAGCAGGCCUUUGGAUAUUAAA